GUAUUUGGCGGAAUGGUAGACGCGCAUGAAUGUCAAUCAUGUGUCCGUAAGGGCGUGUGGGUUCGACUCCCAUAAUACCUA
rnacentral:tRNA from 1 species